UACGGGGGGGGCAAGCGUUGUUCGGAAUUACUGGGCGUAAAGGGCUCGUAGGCGGCCAACUAAGUCGGACGUGAAAUCCCCAGGCUCAACCUGGGAACUGCGUCCGAUACUGGAUGGCUUGAAUCCGGGAGAGGGAUGCAGAAUUCCAGGUGUAGCGGUGAAAUGCGUAGAUAUCUGGAGGAAUACCGGUGGCGAAGGCGGCAUCCUGGACCAUUACUGACGCUGAGGCGCGAAAGCUAGGGGAGCAAACGGG
rnacentral:rRNA from 1 species